GGGCGCUUGGUUUAGGGGUAUAACGUUCGCUUAGCAUGUAUGAUGUUGCGAACGGUCCUGGGUUCGAUUCCCAGAGCGUCCA